UACGUAGGGUGCAAGCGUUGUCCGGAAUUAUUGGGCGUAAAGAGCUCGUAGGCGGCUUAGCAAGUCGGGUGUGAAAACUCCAGGCUCAACCUGGAGACGCCACUCGAGACUGCUAUGGCUAGAGUCCGGUAGGGGACCACGGAAUUCCUGGUGUAGCGGUGAAAUGCGUAGAUAUCUGGAGGAACACCGGUGGCGAAGGCGGCAUCCUGGACCAACACUGAGAGACGAAAGCUAGGGGAGCAAAUGGG
rnacentral:rRNA from 1 species